rnacentral:rRNA from 1 species
GUAGGGUGCAAGCGUUAAUCGGAAUUACUGGGCGUAAAGCGUGCGCAGGCGGUGAUGUAAGACAGAUGUGAAAUCCCCGGGCUCAACCUGGGACCUGCAUUUGUGACUGCAUCGCUAGAGUACGGCAGAGGGGGAUGGAAUUCCGCGUGUAGCAGUGAAAUGCGUAGAUAUGCGGAGGAACACCGAUGGCGAAGGCAAUCCCCUGGGCCUGUACUGACGCUCAUGCACGAAAGCGUGGGGAGCAAACAGGAUUAGAUACCCUGGUAGUCCACGCCCUAAACGAUGUCAACUGGUUGUUGGGAAUUCACUUUCUCAGUAACGAAGCUAACGCGUGAAGUUGACCGCCUGGGGAGUACGGCCGCAAGGUUG